AUUGAACGCUGGCGGCAGGCUUAACACAUGCAAGUCGAGCGGAGAUGAGGUGCUUGCACCUUAUCUUAGCGGCGGACGGGUGAGUAAUGCUUAGGAAUCUGCCUAUUAGUGGGGGACAACAUUCCGAAAGGAAUGCUAAUACCGCAUACGUCCUACGGGAGAAAGCAGGGGAUCUUCGGACCUUGCGCUAAUAGAUGAGCCUAAGUGGGAGUAGCUAGUUGGUGGGGUAAAGGCCUACCAAGGCGACGAUCUGUAGCGGGUCUGAGAGGAUGAUCCGCCACACUGAGACUGAGACACGGCCCAGACUCCUACGGGAGGAAGCAGUGGGGAAUAUUGGACAAUGGGGGGAACCCUGAUCCAGCCAUGCCGCGUGUGUGAAGCAGGCCUUAUGGUUGUAAAGCACUUUAAGCGAGGAGGAGGCUACUGAGACUAAUACUCUUGGAUAGUGGACGUUACUCGCAGAAUAAGCACCGGCUAACUCUGUGCCAGCCGCCGCCGUAAAAC
rnacentral:rRNA from 1 species